GCUCCUGUAGCUCAGAUGGAAGAGCACUGGUAUGAAAAACUGCAAUAAACAUCAGAAGACGUGGGUGCAGUUCCCACCAGGUGCC